rnacentral:tRNA from 15 species
GGAGAGGUGCCGGAGUGGCUGAACGGCCAGGUCUCGAAAACCUUGGGAGUCGUAAGACUCACGCGGGUUCGAAUCCCGCCUUCUCCGCCA